rnacentral:rRNA from 2 species
UGGGGAAUAUUGGACAAUGGGCGCAAGCCUGAUCCAGCCAUGCCGCGUGAGUGAUGAAGGCCUUAGGGUUGUAAAGCUCUUUCGCACGCGACGAUAAUGACGGUAGCGUGAGAAGAAGCCCCGGCUAACUUCGUGCCAGCAGCCGCGGUAAUACGAAGGGGGCUAGCGUUGUUCGGAUUUACUGGGCGUAAAGGGCGCGUAGGCGGAUUGUUAAGUCAGGGGUGAAAUCCCGAGGCUCAACCUCGGAACUGCCUUUGAUACUGGCGAUCUUGAGUCCGGGAGAGGUGAGUGGAACUGCGAGUGUAGAGGUGAAAUUCGUAGAUAUUCGCAAGAACACCAGUGGCGAAGGCGGCUCACUGGCCCGGAACUGACGCUGAGGCGCGAAAGCGUGGGGAGCAAACAGG